CAGCCGCCACGGUAAUACGAAGGGUGCAAGCGUUAAUCGGAAUUACUGGGCGUAAAGCGUGCGUAGGCGGUUUGUUAAGUCUGCUGUGAAAUCCCCGGGCUCAACCUGGGAAUGGCAGUGGAUACUGGCAAGCUAGAGUGUGUCAGAGGAUGGUGGAAUUCCCGGUGUAGCGGUGAAAUGCGUAGAGAUCGGGAGGAACAUCAGUGGCGAAGGCGGCCAUCUGGGACAACACUGACGCUGAGGCACGAAAGCGUGGGGAGCAAACAGGAUUAGAUACCCGAGUAGUCCCUGUCUCUUAUAC
rnacentral:rRNA from 1 species